GUGUCAGCAGCCGCGGUAAUACGGAGGGUGCAAGCGUUAUCCGGAUUUACUGGGUUUAAAGGGUGUGUAGGCGGACUUUUAAGUCCGUGGUGAAAUCUCCGGGCUCAACCCGGAAACUGCCAUGGAUACUAUUUGUCUUGAAUGUUGUUGAGGUGGGCGGAACGGGUCAUGUAGCGGUGAAAUGCAUAGAUAUGACCCGGAACACCGAUUGCGAAGGCAGCCCACUAAGCAAUGAUUGACGCUGAGGCACGAAAGCGUGGGGAUCAAACAGGAUUAGAAACCCUUGUAGUCC
rnacentral:rRNA from 1 species